GACGAACGCUGGCGGCGUGCCUAAUACAUGCAAGUCGAACGCACAGUUUAUACCGUAGCUUGCUACACCAUAGACUGUGAGUUGCGAACGGGUGAGUAACGCGUAGGUAACCUGCCUGGUAGCGGGGGAUAACUAUUGGAAACGAUAGCUAAUACCGCAUAAUAUUAAUUAUUGCAUGAUAAUUAAUUGAAAGGUGCAAUUGCACCACUACCAGAUGGACCUGCGUUGUAUUAGCUAGUAGGUGAGGUAACGGCUCACCUAGGCGACGAUACAUAGCCGGCCUUGGGUGGUGGACGGCCACACUGGGACUGGGACACGGCCCAGACUCCCUCGGGAGGCAGCAAGAGGGAAACUUCGGAAAUGGACGAAAGUCUGACCGAGCAACGCCGCAGUGGGGAAGAAGGUUGUCGGAUCGGAAAGGUCUGUUUUAAGGGAAGAACGGGUGUGAGAGUGGAAAGUUCACACUGUGACGGUAUCUUACCAGAAAGGGACGGCUAACUACGUG
rnacentral:rRNA from 1 species